rnacentral:rRNA from 1 species
CGGGUGAUCUAGCCAUGACCAGGUUGAAGUUGGGGUAAAACCCGAUGGAGGACCGAACCGACCCCCGUUGAAACGUUGGCGGAUGAGUUGUGGCUAGGGGUGAAAUUCCAAUCGAACCCGGAGAUAGCUGGUUCUCCCCGAAAUAGCUUUAGGGCUAGCGUCGAGGUAAGUUGCGUGAAGGUAGAGCACUGAAUAUGUGAUGGCCCCAUCUCGGGGUACUGAGCAUAAUCAAACUGCGAAUGUCACGCCAACAUGCUCGGCAGUCAGACAGCGGGUGAUAAGGUCCGUUGUCAAGAGGGAAACAGCCCAGACCAUCAGCUAAGGUCCCAAAAUGUAUGCUAAGUGGAAAAGGAUGUGGAGAUGUACAGACAACUAGGAGGUUGGCUCAGAAGCAGCCAUCCUUUAAAGAGUGCGUAACAGCUCACUAGUCGAAUGACUCUGCGCCGAUAAUUUACCGGGGCUAAGCAUACUACCGAAGCUAUGGAUCCCAAGGGAUGGUAGGGGAGCGUUCCAUGAACGGAGAAGUACGACCGAAAGGACGUGUGGAGAUCAUGGAAGAGAGAAUGCCGGUGUGAGUAGCGGAACGUGGGUGAGAAUCCCACGCACCGAAAACCCAAGGUUUCCAGAGGAAGGUUCGUCCGCUCUGGGUAAGUCGGGACCUAAGGCGAGGCCGAAAGGCGUAGUCGAUGGACAACAGGUAGAGAUUCCUGUACCCGUAUAUAUGUGAAGGAAUGACGGAGAGAGGAAGCUGCAGCCAGCGGCUGGAAGAGCUGGUGCAAGCGAGAUAUCGGGAUGGCAGGCAAAUCCACCAUCCGAAACGAGAAGGCGUGAAGCGUACGGAAAGCUACGGCGAGUACGGAAGGCAGUGGAGGAACUUCCAAGAAAAGUUUCUAACGUUAAGUAUAUAUGGCCCGUACCGAAAAUGGACACACAUGGGUGAGGAGAGAAUCCUAAGGUGAGCGAGAGAACUAUAGCUAAGGAACUCUGCAAAAUGACUCCGUAACUUAGGGAGAAGGAGUGCUCAUAGAGAUAUGAGCCGCAGUGAAACGGCCCAAGCGACUGUUUACCAAAAACACAGCUCUCUGCUAAGCCGCAAGGCGAAGUAUAGGGGGUGACGCCUGCCCGGUGCUGGAAGGUUAAGGGGAGGGGUUAACGCAAGUGAAGCCCUGAACUGAAGCCCCAGUAAACGGCGGCCGUAACUAUAACGGUCCUAAGGUAGCGAAAUUCCUUGUCAGGUAAGUUCUGACCCGCACGAAAGGCGUAACGAUUUGGGCGCUGUCUCAGCUGUAGACUCGGUGAAGUCUUAGUACCUGUGAAGAUGCAGGUUACCCGCGACUAGACGGAAAGACCCCAUGGAGCUUCACUGCAGGUUGAUAUUGGGAUUUGAUGCAGCAUGUACAGGAUAGGUAGGAGGCAAAGAGAUGGAUACGCCAGUAUUCAAGGAGCCGCUGUUGGGAUACUACCCCUGUUGUAUUGGAUUUCUAACCGGACGACGUAGAGCCGUUGACGGGACAGUGUCAGUCGGGCAGUUUGACUGGGGCGGUCGCCUCCCAAAGAGUAACGGAGGCGCCCAAAGAUACCCUCAGCUUGGAUGGAAACCAAGCGCAGAGUGCAAAGGCAAAAGGGUGUUUGACUGCGAGACCCACAAGUCGAGCAGGGACGAAAGUCGGGCUUAGUGAUCCGGCGGUGCUGAAUGGAAGGGCCGUCGCUCAACGGAUAAAAGCUACCCUGGGGAUAACAGGCUGAUCUCCCCCAAGAGUCCACAUCGACGGGGAGGUUUGGCACCUCGAUGUCGGCUCAUCGCAUCCUGGGGCUGUAUUCGGUCCCAAGGGUUUGGCUGUUCGCCAAUUAAAGCGGCACGCGAGCUGGGUUCAGAACGUCGUGAGACAGUUCGGUCCCUAUCUGUUGCGGGCGCAGGAGAUUUGAAGGGAGCUGUCCUUAGUACGAGAGGACCGGGAUGGACAGACCUCUGGUGCACCAGUUGUCGUGCCAACGGCACAGCUGGGUAGCUACGUCUGGACGAGAUAAACGCUGAAAGCAUCUAAGUGUGAAACUCCCCCUAAGAUAAGAUCUCCCAUCCAUUAGGAGUAAGGGACGACAAAGACUAUGUCGUUGAUAGGUCGGAAGUGUAAGUGCAGUAAUGCAUUGAGCUGACCGAUACUAAUAACCCGAGGGCUUGACCU